GGUCGAUUAGCUCAGUUGGCCAGAGCGAACGGUUUACAUCCGUUAGGUCGCAGGUUCGAGCCCUGCAUCGACCACUA
rnacentral:tRNA from 7 species